rnacentral:lncRNA from 1 species
AUGGGGAGGGAGUGGAUAGGUGGAUUCGUUACCCUCUCCUCCGCUUGCCCCUCCUCGUUCCUCUGCCCCACGACCCCCCACGCCCCAGUUCGAUCCGCCCCAGACCUUGGCUGGCUUCGUCCCAAACUGCUUUCAUGGCCCCCCCCCACGAGGUUUGCCCCCUGCUGUGGUGAAGCGAAACGGGAGGCUCGGGUCCCCGGGCGUGUGUGGACGCCCCCUUGCUGGAUCAAACCAGUUCGCGUGCUCACGCUGGUCCCGGAAAGGCGGGGGGGGCUUUCUUCUCCCGCGGGGCGAAACUCUCCCGGUCCCCCGAAACCUGGGGCCACAUCUCUGCUCACCCCCAGCUCCGGAGCCAGGCAGGGAGGGAACCGGCGCUUUCCUGGCCCCCGCGGUGGAGCCGAGGAAAGGAACCGACUUCGCUGCAGCCGGCCGAGGCCCCGGCCUGCUUCGUCCUCCUCGCACGUCGGGGGGGGGCGACACCGCUUUCUGCUCGGUCGCCCGGGGCCGCUGUUUCUUUCCGUUUUCACGGUUGCGCAAAGUGACGGGCGAGGGGGGGGGGAGAGCCGCCGGUUUCUGAAUGACGGCGGCUGUUGGGAACCAAACCGUCCGCACGUUAUAAGCCAUUAAACCCCCCUGGCCCCGGUAAACGCUCAGAAGGCAGAGGAAUAACAGUGGGCUUUGGCCGCGUCUUUUCUUGCUUCGCCUUGUGGCCGGGCUCAAUGCGUCUCCUUUGCGGGUGCCUGAAAACCAACGGCUCCCGAGCUUAAUGGUCACUCUCCUGGGCUAGGACAUGGCAAAUGGGCGCAUGUAAACCCGGUCGAAAUCAGUUCUGUUAAACCAGAGUGAAACCUCCUCCCCGCUCCCAAGUGUAGACGCGCUUCACCCAGCUUCGUAGCAGCAGCAAUGAUUUCUGGGCGGGGAAAGCACAGAUCUGCCCCACAUCCAGUGGGAGUUGAGUCACUAGCCAGCCAGGGGGGUGUCGGUUUGGGGGAAGCGAGUGAAUAGCCUAGCGAUUCGGGCCAGGUGCAGAUCCG